rnacentral:rRNA from 1 species
UACGUAGGGGUCGAGCGUUGUCCGGACUUACUGGGCGUAAAGCGUGGGUAGGUGGAUCGUGAUGUGCCGUGUGAAAGCGCCGCGCUUCUCGCGGCGAGGUCGCGGUAGACACACGAUCUAGAGGCACGGAGAGGGGCGUAGAAUUCCCGGUGUAGUGGUGAAAUGCGUAGAUAUCGGGGAGGAAUACCAGUGGCGCAAGCGGCGCCCCUGGCCGUGACCUGACACUGAGCCACGACGGCGUGGGGAGCAAACGGGG